rnacentral:rRNA from 1 species
AGUGGGGAAUAUUGCGCAAUGGGGGCAACCCUGACGCAGCCAUGCCGCGUGUGUGAAGAAGGCCUUCGGGUUGUAAAGCACUUUCAAUGGGGAAGAAAAGCGUAGCGUUAAUAGCGUUGCGCCGUGACGUUACCCAUAGAAGAAGCACCGGCUAACUCCGUGCCAGCAGCCGCGGUAAUACGGAGGGUGCGAGCGUUAAUCGGAAUUACUGGGCGUAAAGCGCGCGUAGGCGGUUUGUUAAGUCAGCUGUGAAAGCCCCGGGCUUAACCUGGGAACUGCAGUUGAUACUGGCCGACUGGAGUACGAGAGAGGGAGGUAGAAUUCCAUGUGUAGCGGUGAAAUGCGUAGAUAUAUGGAGGAAUACCGGUGGCGAAGGCGGCCUCCUGGCUCGAUACUGACGCUGAGGUGCGAAAGCGUGGGGAUCAAA